rnacentral:rRNA from 1 species
UACGUAGGGUGCAAGCGUUAAUCGGAAUUACUGGGCGUAAAGCGUGCGCAGGCGGUGAUGUAAGACAGGUGUGAAAUCCCCGGGCUUAACCUGGGAACUGCAUUUGUGACUGCAUCGCUGGAGUGCGGCAGAGGGGGAUGGAAUUCCGCGUGUAGCAGUGAAAUGCGUAGAUAUGCGGAGGAACACCGAUGGCGAAGGCAAUCCCCUGGGCCUGCACUGACGCUGAGAAGCGAAAGCAUGGGGAGCGAACAGG